rnacentral:rRNA from 1 species
GACGAACCGAGCGAACGUUGUUCGGAAUCACUGGGCUUAAAGGGCGCGUAGGAGGGCUGCCAAGUCUGGGGUGAAAUCCCACGGCUCAACCGUGGAACUGCCUCGGAUACUGGCGGUCUCGAGGGAGGUAGGGGCAUGCGGAACUGUGGGUGGAGCGGUGAAAUGCGUUGAUAUCCACAGGGAACUCCGGUGGCGAAAGCGGCGUGCUGGACCUCUCUGACGCUGAGGCGCGAAAGCUAGGGGAGCAAACGGG